GUCUUAUACUCUUAUAGACAUGGACAUUCGGUACUUUGUACUUGCAUUGUUUGCAUCGAAACAGAAAAUCCUUUCCAUAAUUGAUUAGCCACAAUUGUUUUAUGAACAUAUAACCAGUCACUACUGACUACUCCUCUGUUCUUCACCCUCUCUAUCUUAUUUCGGUGCAAGCACUGAUCCCAGCCUAUCGGAAAUUCUAGAUGAAUCAAAAAUUAAUAGUAGAUCAAGAGAAAUGGAUGGUUGACCAAGAUAAAUUGAGAAGAAAUCAAAGGUUUAGUGAAAUUGUAACAAAGAUUUACAUCAAAGAAAGGAGAAAAUAUUUUAUUUUGAAGAUUUAAUGGUGUAAGCUUAAAUUAUGUUUUUUUUUU